ACGGGGCCCGCACAAGCGGUGGAGCAUGUGGUUUAAUUCGACGCACGCGAAGAACCUUACCAGGGCUUGACAUCCCGGGAACCCUUUGGAACAGAGGGGUGCCCGCAAGGGAGCCCGGAGACAGGUGGUGCAUGGUUGUCGUCAGCUCGUGUCGUGAGAUGUUGGGUUAAGUCCCGCAACGAGCGCAACCCCUACGUUUAGUUGCUAACGCGUGAAGGCGAGCACUCUAGACGAACUGCCGUUGACAAAACGGAGGAAGGUGGGGAUGACGUCAAAUCAUCAUGCCCCUUAUGUUCUGGGCUACACACGUGCUACAAUGGCCGGUACAGACGGAGGCGAAGCCGCGAGGCGGAGCAAAUCCGAAAAAGCCGGUCUCAGUUCGGAUUGCAGGCUGCAAUUCGCCUGCAUGAAGUCGGAAUCGCUAGUAAUCGCAGGUCAGCAUACUGCGGUGAAUACGUUCCCGGGCCUU
rnacentral:rRNA from 1 species